CCUACGGGAGGCAGCAGUGGGGAAUAUUGCACAAUGGGGGAAACCCUGAUGCAGCGACGCCGCGUGAGUGAAGAAGUAUUUCGGUAUGUAAAGCUCUAUCAGCAGGGAAGAAGAAAGACGGUACCUGACUAAGAAGCACCGGCUAACUCCCGGGCAGCAGCCGCGGCUAUACGUAGGGGGGAAGCGUUAUCCGGAUUAAAGGGGAGGAAAGGGAGCGUAGGCGGUUGAGCAAGUCUGAAGUGAAAGCCCAGGGCUCAACCCUGGGACUGUUUGGGAAACUGGGGAGCUAGAGUGCUGGAGAGGUAAGUGGAAUUCCUGGGGUAGCGGUGAAAUGCGUAGAUAUUAGGAGGAACACCAGUGGCGAAGGCGGCUUACUGGACAGUAACUGACGUUGAGGCUCGAAAGCGUGGGGAGCAAACAGGAUUAGAUACCCGAGUAGUC
rnacentral:rRNA from 1 species